CGUCCACGCGCCAAGACGG
rnacentral:misc_RNA from 1 species